UAUGGCCAUAUCAUGUUGAGACACCAGUUCCCAUACAAUCACUAAAGUUAAGCAACAUUGAGCCUGGUUAGUACUUAGAUGGGUAACUACUUAAGAAUACCAGGUGCUGUAAG